CCUACGGGUGGCAGCAGUGGGGGAUAUUGCACAAUGGGGGAAACCCUGAUGCAGCGACGCCGCGUGGGUGAAGAAGCGCCUCGGCGCGUAAAGCCCUGUCAGCAGGGAAGAAAAUGACGGUACCUGAAGAAGAAGCCCCGGCUAACACCGAGCAAGCAGCCGCGGUAAUACGGGGGAGGCCAGCGUUAUCCGGAUUUUAUGGGUUGAAAGGGUGCGUAGGCUGUGAGGUAAGUCAGCGGGGAAAUGCCCCCGCUCAACGGGGUGAAGUGCCAGUGAUACUGGCGUGCUGGAGUGCGGAUGCCGUGGGAGGAAUGUGUGGUGUAGCGGUGAAAUGCAUAGAUAUCGCACAGAACACCGAUUGCGAAGGCAGCUCACGAAUCCGCGAUUGACGCUGAUGCACGAAAGCGUGGGUAUCAAACAGGAUUAGAUACCCCAGUAGUC
rnacentral:rRNA from 1 species